rnacentral:lncRNA from 1 species
ACACGCUUCCCCACUGAGGGAAGACCAUGUGACUAUACAACAGGAAGGUAGUUGUUUACAAGCCAGGAAGAGAGCCCUCACCAGAAACCAAAUUGGCUGGCACCUUGAUCAUGGACUCCUGGGCUCCAGAACUGUAAGAAAAUACAUUUGUGUUGUGGAAGCCACCCAGCCCAUGGUAUUUCGUUAUGGCAGCCUGAGCAGAGGUGGUAGCUAUGUGGACAGUUUUUGGACUUCUCUAUUGUUGCCCUUCAUCACUCAGCAGUGAAGAAUGAAAAUCAACAGAGCUUUCCCCAGCCUGCUGCUUAAGCAGCUGCUAGCAGGCUGAGGCUGCCCAGCCUCAUUAACCCAUUAGAUGCUGCGUUCGCCCGGGAGUCAUUCUUAAUAAGGCUGCUGCAGAGACGGCGUUUCACCAUGUUGCCCAGACUGGUCUUGAACUCCUGGCUUCAAGUGAUCCUCCUGCCUCAGCCUCCCAAAGUGCUGGUAUUACAGAUGAGAAAACAGAAGCAAAGGCAGAAAGAUGCUACAUUGCCAGCUUUGAAGAUGGAGGGAAGAGGUCACAAACCAAGGAA